UACGUAGGGCGCAAGCGUUGUCCGGAAUUAUUGGGCGUAAAGAGCUCGUAGGCGGUUUGUCGCGUCUGCUGUGAAAACCUAAGGCUCAACCUUGGGCUUGCAGUGGGUACGGGCAGACUAGAGUGCGGUAGGGGUGACUGGAAUUCCUGGUGUAGCGGUGGAAUGCGCAGAUAUCAGGAGGAACACCGAUGGCGAAGGCAGGUCACUGGGGCCG
rnacentral:rRNA from 1 species